rnacentral:rRNA from 1 species
UACAGAGACUGCAAGCGUUAUUCGGAUUCACUGGGCGUAAAGCGUGCGCAGGCGGUCCGCAAAGUCUGAUGUGAAAGCCCCGGGCUCAACCUGGGAACUGCAUUGGAAACUAACGGGCUCGAGUGUGGCAGAGGGGGGUGGAAUUCCACGUGUAGCAGUGAAAUGCGUAGAGAUGUGGAGGAACACCGAUGGCGAAGGCAGCCCCCUGGGCUAACACUGACGCUCAGGCACGAAAGCGUGGGGAGCAAACAGG